rnacentral:rRNA from 1 species
CGAAGGGUGCGAGCGUUAAUCGGAAUUACUGGGGCGUAAAGGGUGCGUAGAUGGUUUCUUAAGUCAGCUGUGAAAUUACCCGGGCUUAACCUGGGCGCUGCAGCUGAAACUGGGGAGGCUAGAGUUUGAGAGAGGACGGUGGAAUUCCUGGUGUAGCGGUGAAAUGCGUAGAGAUCAGGAGGAACACUAGUGGCGAAGGCGGCCGUCUGGCUUAAAACUGACGUUGAGGCACGAAAGCGUGGGGAGCAAACAGGAUU